rnacentral:rRNA from 1 species
GACGAACGCUGGCGGCGUGCCUAAUACAUGCAAGUCGAACGCUUCUUUCCUCCCGAGUGCUUGCACUCAAUUGGAAAGAGGAGUGGCGGACGGGUGAGUAACACGUCGGUAACCUACCCAUCAGAGGGGGAUAACACUUGGAAACAGGUGCUAAUACCGCAUAACAGUUUAUGCCGCAUGGCAUAAGAGUGAAAGGCGCUCUCGGGUGUCGUUGAUGGAUGGACCCGCGGUGCAUUAGCUAGUUGGUGAGGUAACGGCUCACCAAGGCCACGAUGCAUAGCCGACCUGAGAGGGUGAUCGGCCACACUGGGACUGAGACACGGCCCAGACUCCUACGGGAGGCAGCAGUAGGGAAUCUUCGGCAAUGGACGAAAGUCUGACCGAGCAACGCCGCGUGAGUGAAGAAGGUUUUCGGAUCGUAAAACUCUGUUGUUAGAGAAGAACAAGGACGUUAGUAACUGAACGUCCCCUGACGGUAUCUAACCAGAAAGCCACGGCUAACUACGUG